UUCAAUUUUGAAUGAAAUCAAACAAAGAUUAAUUUUGGACCCUUUUGACCUCAAUAUGAACCAAUUUGAUAGUGGGGCCCACAAAUUAAAAAUCUAAAUACAUGGUAAGAUUCAGCAUAUCAAAGAACCCCAUAUAUUCAAUUUUUGUUGAAAUCAAACAAAGUUUAAUUUUGGAACCCC